AAUGCCAGUGUCAGAGAUCAAUAUCCAGCCUUGUACUGCAUUGCUCACGAUAAGAAUAAUACUAUUGCGUAGUUGCUUAGUUCAUUCCCACCAAAUAUUUCGUUCAGGAGAGACUUGAUUGGGCCCUAGCUUAUGUCAUGGCAAAAUCUCUUCUCCCGACUGUAUUCGAUCAACCUGACACAAGGCCAGAAUGUGUUUCGCUGGAACCUUCCUACGUCAGGGUUUCUCACAAUAGACCCUAUGUAUCAUGCGCUCACGAAUUCUGAGGUCCCAGUGAAUAAUAAGAAGAAAAUUUGGAAGUCUAAGACUCUACUAAAAGAUAAAACCUUUAUGUGGUAUGUUCGCACGGGAGUUGUGCUAACCAAAGACAACCUCGCACGAUGCAACUAG
rnacentral:rRNA from 1 species